GGCCACAUCACGUUGAAACACUGGUUCCCGUACGAUCACCGAAAUUAAGCAACUUCGAUCCUGGUCAGUACCAAAAUGGGUGACCGCUUGGGAAUACCAGAUACUGUAA